rnacentral:rRNA from 1 species
AUGACGGAGGCACUGAACGACAAAUAUUUGGGCUUGCCAGCAAAUGUUGGGGUAGAUAAAACAAAAUGCUUUCAAUUUUUAAGUGAACAAAUUGUUAAGAAGAUUAGUGGUUGGAAGGAAAAAAUACUAUGCAGGGGGAAGGAGAUCCUGCUCAAGGUUGUGAUCCAAGCCAUACCUACCUAUGCAAUGUCAGUCUUUAGAAUUCCUAAUUGCGAAGGAAUCAUUGAAGCGAUAGCGCAUUUCUGGUGGGGAGACAAGGAGAACCAGAGGAGGAUGCAUUGGAUGGCCUGGUGGAAAAUGUGCAUACCAAAAAACCAAGGAGGAAUGGGAUUCCAUGAUAUCCAUUGUUUCAAUUUGGCGUUUCUCGCCAAACAGGCAUGGCAUCUUCUUGAUAAUCUUGAUUCAUUGUGUGCUACUAUUCUAAGGGCCAAGUACUAUUGUCAGUGUCAAAACCGGCGGAUCUCGGGUAGGGGGUCCCGAACUGUGCGUCUAAGGCGGAUGGUAACAGGAGGCACGGGACACGAUGUUUUACCCAGGUUCGAGCCCUCUUGA